AGGGCCCCUUUUGGAAGUUUGUGAAUAGGUCAAGCAGCUCCAAAUGACUGCAUUUCAUUAUUGGAAAAGUAAUUCUAUAUUUGUUUCAAAAAAAUUGGCCGCCGAACACCUCUUGACUGCUGAGCUGUUAAUGUCCCUUUGUUUUUAGGGGAAAUAGAUAGUUCCAACACAAGGACUCCCCCAUUCUUUUUCUUUUUAAGACACAGAUCAAUGAUCUCUACUGAUUUUCCAAACUCUAAUUUGCAAUUUAAU
rnacentral:misc_RNA from 1 species